CGCAUCUGUGCAUGCAGCAUAUCAAUAAGCGGAGGAAAAGAAACUAACAAGGAUUCCCCUAGUAACGGCGAGUGAAGCGGGAAGAGCUCAAAUUUGAAAUCUUAAAGGGUUUCCCUUUACGAAUUGUAGUUUAAAGAAGUGUUUUCUGUUGAGGUUUUGGUAAAAGUUCUUUGGAAUAGGACAUCGAUAGAGGGUGAGAAUCCCGUAUUUGACCUUUACUUUCAACUUUGUGAUACACUUUCAAAGAGUCGGAUUGUUUGGGAAUGCAGUCCAAAAUGGGUGGUAAAUCUCAUCUAAAGCUAAAUAUUGGCGAGAGACCGAUAGCGAACAAGUACCGUGAGGGAAAGAUGAAAAGAACUUUGAAAAGAGAGUUAAACAGUACGUGAAAUUGUCAAAAGGGAAGCGUUUGACACCAGUGUUGUUUUUCUGAAAAUCAAUUAAAGAACUGUUUAUGCUAAGUUGUUUAGACUUUAUCAGCUAACUGUUUAGUUUUGAGCUUUUCUUUAAUGCACUUUUCAGUUAACAAGUCAACAUCAAUUUCUUUUGCUGUAAAAAAGCUUGAGGAAGGUGGCUUGAGAUUCGUCUUAAGUGUUUAUAGCCUCUUGCCUAUGCAGUCGGAGAGAUUGAGGUCUGCAGCGUAGAUCCUUCGGGGCUAAAUGCAUUUGUGCUAAGUUAUAGCAUUUUAUAGACAACUUGUUGACUAUGAUUUGUCUUGUAGCUUACUCGCUUAUGUUAUUUUACCUACGCUUAGGAUGUUGAACGCGCACAGAGUCUC
rnacentral:rRNA from 1 species